rnacentral:tRNA from 1 species
GCUCCCAUCGUCUAGUGGCCUAGGACGUCGCCCUCUCACGGCGAAAACCGGGGUUCGAGUCCCCGUGGGAGCGCCA